GGUUCCAUAGUGUAGUGGUUAUCACGUCUGCUUUACACCGAGAAGGUCCUGGGUUCGAGCCCCAGUGGAACCA